rnacentral:rRNA from 1 species
AUGAAAAUGUUUGAUUGUUUUGAGAAGAAUAGAAGUGGCCAUUUGAUCAUCAAAUAUUCUGAGAGAAGUGAUGAUGUUGAUGUUCCAUGUACUCCUUCGAACCAGACACCAUCUAUAGCACUACCUAGUCAACCAAGUAAUGUCAUGGAUGAAGCUAGUGUAUGCCUAACAGAUACAUAUCUUAACAAUCCCCAUGAAGAAUAUGAACAUGUUGGUGUAGAUGAGGAGGACCAAUACUCAAUUGGCAGUGUUGGUUCCGAUAGUGAUGAUGAGGUCGGAGAAAAAGAUAUACCAAAUACUGAUUAUGUUGAGGAUAGCAGCGAUGAUGAGGAAUGGGUUGUUGAAGAUGCUAGACCGGAUGCUAUUCCAGAAAUUGCCUAUGACAAAGAAAACCCGCCAAUGCAUGUUGGCGCAAAGUACCCCAACAUUGAAGAGCUUAGGUUGGCAAUUUCUACAUACGCUGUGAAGAAAGAGUUCGAAUUUAAGGUUGAAAAAGUGAACCUACUCGAUUCAGGGCUUAUUGUCGCCGGGCGAACAAGACGGGCUGUAAAUGGAGAAUUCAUGUUGGGAGGUUGGAUGACUGAGAAACUAUGGAGGUCAAAGUUCAUGUGCAGGAGCACACAUGUUCUAGCACAAAGAAGAAAAAGAAGCAGAAAAAUGCUUCAAAGGCAUGGGUAUGUGAGAAAGUCAUGGACUGGGUAA